UACGGGGGGGGUAAGCGUUGUUCGGAAUUACUGGGCGUAAAGGGCUCGUAGGCGGCCAACUAAGUCAUACGUGAAAUCCCUCAGCUUAACUGGGGAACUGCGUGUGAUACUGGAUGGCUUGGAUUUGGGAGAGGGAUGCGGAAUUCCAGGUGUAGCGGUGAAAUGCGUAGAUAUCUGGAGGAACACCGGUGGCGAAGGCGGCCUUCUGGACGGCUACUGACACUGAGACGCGAAAGCGUGGGGAGCAAACAGG
rnacentral:rRNA from 1 species